rnacentral:lncRNA from 1 species
GAGCGUUACAACUAUGCGCUCCGUAAACAAGUGGGUGGAAACCGGCCCUAGCGACUCCGCCCAGAAACGGGGAAAACGAGCCAAUGGGCGCCGGGAACACAUGCUGUACAGUGCUACCAGGUGGUGGUGAACAGUGCUGCGUAUUCCUGAAGUCGAAGGCGGCAGGAGCAGAAGAAGGUGUCUUUCCUGAAUUACAUGGUGGAGUCUUUACUGGCUGAGCCAUCAGGGAAGCCCCAGCACAGGGACUGUGAUUCAGUGAGAUUCUGUGGUUUUGCCAAGUGGUUUUCAAUAGGAUGUGAGGCUUGCAGAGACCCUUCCUCACCUUCAAACCUAAUCAACAGUGGAAACAUGUCAAUAUUUCCCUUUGGAACAUAAUUUGUCAAAUUUUCAUUUCUUUUCAAUCCAAGAACCUAUCUCUUGAAGUCAAAAUGUUUUCUCUGGGAUUUUAUGAUUCAUCUUUUAACCUAAACUCCUGCUGAGAAUUCUUUCUCUGCUAAGCCACUAAAUUCCUGUUGGUAACAGAUUUAUGUGCUCUUUAUCCAGAUGUUUCCACAGUUUAAAAAAUAUUCUCGAGUGAAUUGUUCUCUUUUUAAUAAAGUUGGUGGUUUUUGUCACAUUGUCUAGACUUUUAAAAUUUUUUGUUUAACAGGCUUUGACAUCAGCACCUCUCUAUGAAGAAAAACAGUAUGUUGUGAACAAAGUCAGAAUUUUCUUUGCUCAUUAGAGGCAAAGCC